GACGAACGCUGGCGGCGUGCUUAACACAUGCAAGUCGAACGGAAAGGCCCCCAUCUUGGUGGGGGUGCUCGAGUGGCGAACGGGUGAGUAACACGUGGGUGAUCUGCCCUGUACUUCGGGAUAAGCUUGGGAAACUGGGUCUAAUACCGGAUAGGACCAUGGUUUAGUGUCUCAUGGUGGAAAGAUUAUUGUUUUGGUGCAGGAUGAGCUCGCGGCCUAUCAGCUUGUUGGUGGGGUAAUGGCCUACCAAGGCGUCGACGGGUAGCCGGCCUGAGAGGGUGGACGGCCACAUUGGGACUGAGAUACGGCACAGACUACUACGGGAGGCAGCAGUGGGGAAUAUUGCACAAUGGGCGCAAGCCUGAUGCAGCGACGCCGCGUGGGGGAUGACGGCCUUCGGGUUGUAAACUCCUUUCGUUAGGGACGAAGCCGCACUUUUUUUGGGUGUGGUGACGGUACCUUUGUUAAGAAGCACCGGCUAACUACGUG
rnacentral:rRNA from 1 species